rnacentral:rRNA from 1 species
UACGUAGGGUGCGAGCGUUUGUCCGGAAUUAUUGGGCGUAAAGAGCUCGUAGGCGGUUUGUCGCGUCGGCCGUGAAAACUUGGGGCUUAACCCCAAGCUUGCGGUCGAUACGGGCAGACUUGAGUUCGGCAGGGGAGACUGGUAAUUCCUGGUGUAGCGGUGAAAUGCGCAGAUAUCAGGAGGAACACCGGUGGCGAAGGCGGGUCUCUGGGCCGAUACUGACGCUGAGGAGCGAAAGCGUGGGGAGCGAACAGG